rnacentral:sRNA from 1 species
UGCAUCUGCAGCUGAUGAGGAUGAGAACCUCCGGGGGCAGGGAGGUUCGACUCGAGCGAAGCGAGAGAACGUUGCGCCAGCAACGGCCCGCAGGGCGAGCCACGAAGUGGCGAGUAAUCCUCUAUCACCGACCA